AAGUCGUAACAUGGUAACCGUAGGUGAACCUGCGGUUGGAUCAUUAAUAAAUGUUUCUAACACUAAGGGGUUCUUAGUCGGGCUUCGGUCGGACUCUGAAUCCCUUUACACCCAUACCUGUGAAUUGUUAUUGAAUGGACUCGUGUCGACUUGGCUUUGGUCAAGAAGACACCAGUUCCAACCACUUUAAACAUACAAAGACCUUUUUUUGAAAAGGAAAUGAACCGAGGAGCAAUCCAAGGGAAAUUGACUAAUUAAAGAAAAACAACUUUUGACAACGGAUCUCUUGGCUCUC
rnacentral:misc_RNA from 1 species